rnacentral:rRNA from 1 species
UACGUAGGGGCCAAGCGUUUGUCCGGAUUUAUUGGGCGUAAAGAGCUCGUAGGCGGUUCGGCAAGUCGGAUGUGAAAUCUCCACGCUAACGUGGAGGAGCCAUUCGAAACUGCCGGUGACUCGAGUCCGGUAGGGGAGUGUGGAAUUCCCGGUGUAGCGGUGAAUGCGCAGAUAUCGGGAGGAACACCAGUAGCGAAGGGCGGACACGCUGGGCCGGUACUGGACGCUGAGGAGCGAAAAGCGUGGGGAGCGAACGAGG